rnacentral:rRNA from 1 species
AUACGGAGGGUGCAAGCGUUACUCGGAAUCACUGGGCGUAAAGCGCGCGCAGGCGGCUUGAUAAGUUGGAUGUGAAAGCCUACGGCUCAACCGUAGAACUGCAUCCAAAACUGUCAGGCUAGAGUGUGGGAGAGGAAGAUGGAAUUAGUUGUGUAGGGGUAAAAUCCCUAGAGAUAACUAGGAAUACCAAAAGCGAAGGCAAUCUUCUGGAACACUACUGACGCUGAGGCGCGAAGGCGUGGGGAGCAAACAGGAUUAGAUACCCUAGUAGUCC